rnacentral:rRNA from 1 species
AUUGAACGCUGGCAGGCCUACCACAUGAAAGUCGAGCGGAGCGGCGGACGGGUGAGUAAUGCCUAGGAAUCUGCCUGGUAGUGGGGGAUAACGUCCGGAAACGGGCGCUAAUAACGCAUACUAGCAGAGGAGCCUAGGUCGGAUUAGCUAGUUGGUGGGGUAAAGGCCUACCACGGCGACGAUCCGUAACUGGUCGGAGAGGAUGAUCAGUCACACUGGAACGGAUACACGGUCCAGACUCCUACGGGAGGCCGCAGUGGGGAAUAUUGGACAAUGGGCGAAAGCCUGACCCAGCCAGGCCGCGUGUGUGAAGAAGGUCUUCGGAUUGUAAAGCACUUUCAGUUGGGAGGCGUUACCAACAGAAUAAGCACCGGCUAACUUCGUGCCAGCAGCCGCGGUAAUUC